AUGUUGUGGGAGGAACCUGGUGGGAGGUAAUUGAAUAAUGAGAGUGGGUCUUUCUUGUGCUUUUCUUGUGACAGUGAAUAGGUCUCAUGAGAUCUGAUGUUUUUAAAAAUGGGAGUUUCCCUGUAUACACCCU